rnacentral:tRNA from 1 species
GCGCUGGUGGUGUAAUGGCGUAGAGCAUUCCCGCCCGGUCAGAGGGAGGUGUGGGUUCGAGUCCCGCCUGGCGCU